GAUGAACGCUGGCGGCGUGCCUAAUACAUGCAAGUCGAGCGAACAGACGAGGAGCUUGCUCCUCUGACGUUAGCGGCGGACGGGUGAGUAACACGUGGAUAACCUACCUAUAAGACUGGGAUAACUUCGGGAAACCGGAGCUAAUACCGGAUAACAUGUUGAACCGCAUGGUUCAACAGUGAAAGACGGUCUUGCUGUCACUUAUAGAUGGAUCCGCGCCGCAUUAGCUAGUUGGUAAGGUAACGGCUUACCAAGGCAACGAUGCGUAGCCGACCUGAGAGGGUGAUCGGACACACUGGAACUGAGACACGGUCCAGACUCCUACGGGAGGCAGCAGUAGGGAAUCUUCCGCAAUGGGCGAAAGCCUGACGGAGCAACGCCGCGUGAGUGAAGAAGGUCUUCGGAUCGUAAAACUCUGUUAUUAGGGAAGAACAAAUGUGUAAGUAACUAUGCACGUCUUGACGGUACCUAAUCAGAAAGCCACGGCUAACUACGUG
rnacentral:rRNA from 1 species